GGAGAGAUGGCUCAGUGGUUAAGAGCACUGGCUUUUCUUCCAGAAGACCAGGGUUCAAAUUCCCAGUACCUACA
rnacentral:tRNA from 1 species